CAACUUCUUUAAACUUGUGGACAGGUCUGUCUUCAUUCCCAAAACGGGACGCUCAUGUCUGGUCUCUCCAGUCUUUUCUAGCCUUGAGUUAUAAAAUAAUAGUUAAAUGAAUUGUGUAACUCGGUUUCGGAUGAGUCAAUUAAGUUUAUUGUUGGGCAAAUGCUAAUAUAAACCUGCUGCUGUAGCUGAAAGGUGAGGCUGAGAGGCUGGGGACCGGAGGCUUGUGGUGCCAGGGUGGACCAGAGACUGAGGCUGGAGACCAGGGGCCUGCAGCACCGGACCAGAGGACCAGGAAUCCAUGGCUGAAGGAGCUGAUGGAGGAGCCGUGCUGAAGGCCCUGCCUGGUGGAGGAGCUGAUGGAGGCCCUACCUGGUGAAGGAUGUCUGUCGUUGGACCAGGACUCUGUCUGAGGAGAGCUGAUGGAGGAGCUGAGACGCUGCAGGACGACUAGGAAUCGACCAACAAGGAUUCCUCGUAAGUUUGUAUUUACUUAACAUGGUUGAC